AUUUAUAAAAAUAUAUUUAAAUAUUUAUGUGUAUCUACGAAUUUUAAAAUAUCUACAUAUAUUUUUUAAACCAAUAUCCGUAUAAGUUAUAUAUAAAUAUUAUCUGUAUCCAAUAUGAUAUAAACUUAUGUAAAUUUCUUGUUUUAUCUUAUUGUAAAACUUUGUAUCCUUCCAUUAUUUUCCACUUGUUUGUUGAAUUUAAUUGCUGCUCGG
rnacentral:lncRNA from 1 species